UACGAAGGUGGCAAGCGUUGUUCGGAUUUACUGGGCGUAAAGAGCGCGUAGGCGGUCCGGUAAGUCCGCUCUGAAAGUCCGGGGCUCAACCCCGGGAGGCGGGCGGAUACUGUCGGGCUAGAGUCCGGAAGAGGCGAGUGGAAUUCCUGGUGUAGCGGUGAAAUGCGCAGAUAUCAGGAGGAACACCGAUGGCGAAGGCAGCUCGCUGGGACGGUACUGACGCUGAGGCGCGAAAGCGUGGGGAGCAAACAGG
rnacentral:rRNA from 1 species